CCCGUCACACCAUGGGAGUCGAUUGCUCCAGAAGUGGCUGCGCCAACCUUCGCAAGGAGGAGGCAGGUCCCCAAGGAGUGCUCGGUAACUGGGGUG
rnacentral:rRNA from 1 species